rnacentral:lncRNA from 10 species
CUCACUGACGAGGGCAAGGGAGGAGGGUGAAUCACACGCUGGAGUUUUCCACCAAGUACCUGCCCUCUGUGGCUUCUAGGCAAGGCCCUGGACCUUCACAACCCUUCUCCUUGGGAUUUUCCUAGAGAAAGCACCCAGAGCGUACCUCAAGAAGCAAUGUAGAGAGGACCCAGGAUUGGGACCAGACAGACCUGAGUUUCUUCUCCUCCUCUAUCAUGUAUCAGUCACGACAGCUAGGCAAGGGUCAGCCUUGGUUUCCCAGUCUGUCAAAGGUGUGGCCUCCAGACAAGAGAGGGCUCCCUUCCUUUUGGGUCUUCUUCUCUGGGAACUCUAAGAUAUAGCGCCCACCCCUCCAGGCUAGGGAAGCAGGUCACUGACUCGGCUGCCCUACACCCCCCCAUCCCCACCCCCACCCCCGUCGCUUCAGCCCCUCUGGCUAAGGCCGAGGUACUCCUUCCUUCCUUCCCUCAACCCUGACCCCGACCCAAGCCAGCAGCAUUCUCAUCUCUCUGCCUGCCAGUCCCACCUGCGCUGUUAGAGCCUCACCCCCUCAGCCACCUCCCUCCAGUUUGAUGACCUCACACCACGUGUCACCAAGUGACGGAAAGGACCCUCACACCCAUUACCUCCUUUGAGCCCUACGACAAGCCCUGCUUGGAGAAGGAGUGCGUGGCGUUUUCUGCAACUGCGAAGCAAAGAACCUGAAUUCCAAGUGACUGCACAGACACGCAGCAAGUUCUGGAAGCACACCUCCGGGUUCUUACACCAAUAGGUGACUCUCACACCGUGUUCCACCAUCAGGAAGCUCCUCGAUGCGACUCAGAUCACAUCUGGGUCCCACAUUCCCGCUGAGGCCGGCAGUUCCGGCAACUUUGGUCAUACGGAUGGAGACAGCACGGCACCACGCGGGAGGUGUUCUGUCAACAGUGUCCGGUGGAUGGAGCUGCUGGCUUGCAGCAUCUCGAGUUCGGGCCUGCCUCUCCAGCAGAUGUAUUUCUCCCCCGCACAAAGGCGGAGGAAGGAAGCUGAGGACAUGUGGAGAGAGGCUGGGCAGCCUCCUCUGGUCCACAUGCCUGAUGAUGGAGGCUCUCAGCCUGGCCCCACCACCCGCCCCCAUCACCGUGCUGAGUGGGCCCCAGUGAGAACUCAAUGGGGGAGGCUAGGAUGGGGAGGGGCAGGGUCCUAAACCACAACAGUAACAUGGGGAAGGGUGAAGGCAGCCAGGCAGGGGGCAGAAAUCAGACAGAACCGCUAGCAGUCAGCGGGAAG